rnacentral:rRNA from 1 species
UACAGAGGUCUCAAGCGUUGUUCGGAUUCAUUGGGCGUAAAGGGUGCGUAGGUGGCGCGUAAGUCGGGUGUGAAAUUCGAUGCUUAACUCCGAAACUGCAUUCGAUACUGCGUGCUUGAGGACUGGAGAGGAGACUGGAAUUUACGGUGUAGCGUGAAAUGCGUAGAUAUCGUAAGGAAGACCAGUGGCGAAGGCGGGGUCU